rfam:Beta vulgaris subsp. vulgaris chromosome 9, whole genome shotgun sequence.
AACUCAUGGUGAGGACAUGAACGAAUAUCUCCUUAAAUCGCACCCAAGCUUCCGCAAGUGUCUCAUCGUUCUCUUGCUCAAAUGAGGAUAUCUUCCUCCUUAUGUC